rnacentral:rRNA from 1 species
AUUGAACGCUGGCGGCAGGCCUAACACAUGCAAGUCGAACGAGUGGCGGACGGGUGAGGAAUGUCUGGGAAACUGCCCGAUGGAGGGGGAUAACUACUGGAAACGGUAGCUAAUACCGCAUACCAUCGGAUGUGCCCAGAGGGGAUUAGCUAGUAGGUGGGGUAACGGCUCACCUAGGCGACGAUCCCUAGCUGGUCUGAGAGGAUGACCAGCCAUACUGGAACUGAGACACGGUCCAGACUCCUACGGGAGGCAGCAGGGGGGAAUAUUGCACAAUGGGCGAAAGCCUGAUGCAGCCAGGCCGCGUGUAUGAAGAAGGGCUUCGGGUUGUAAAGUACUUUCAGCGAGGAGGCGUUACCCGCAGAAGAAGCACCGGCUAACUCCGUGCCAGCAGCCGCGGUAAUAC